CCUACGGGUGGCUGCAGUGGGGAAUAUUGGACAAUGGGCGCAAGCCUGAUCCAGCCAUACCGCGUGGGUGAAGAAGGCCUUCGGGUUGUAAAGCCCUUUUGUUGGGAAAGAAAUCCUGUCGAUUAAUACUCGGUGGGGAUGACGGUACCCAAAGAAUAAGCACCGGCUAACUUCGUGCCAGCAGCCGCGGUAAUACGAAGGGUGCAAGCGUUACUCGGAAUUACUGGGCGUAAAGCGUGCGUAGGUGGUGGUUUAAGUCUGCUGUGAAAGCCCUG
rnacentral:rRNA from 1 species